AAGACCCUGCGUGUCCACGUGGCGCGUAAACUGCUCUAAGGCAUGCCGACUGAUCACGUCAACCAACAUUCUAUCCGCAGUAUUUAUCUUACAGGCAAAGCUCUCGCCUUUUUAUACAACUAUCAUAAAUUAGCAUUGCGGCAGGUGCAUUGAAAAAAACGCCAACAGUGUUAAUCUUAAUUCCCCACUUGUUUUGCACGGCUGUCAAACUGGCACUCAGAAACAGUGCACUCGACCAGCCAAACGCGGAAGGUAAUAUGCCAUCCUGAGUGGCUAACUCAACGAUCUACAGUCUACAGCUUCUCCCAUCAACCGGGAUUACAGUGUGCGUGAUUCCGUUCAAUGCGUACUGUUUCGUGUGUCAAUAUCUUUGUCAAGGACCUACCCGUAAAUUACACUACUAAUUCAGAGCAUCUAAGCCACUGUUCGACCAGCUGUGACGUAAGGUAAUGUGUAUAAAUAACAAGAGGAAAGGCCACAUGUUAGCAUCAAAUUAUGGCAUUAAUAUAUCACUCAAGGAACAAAGAGAGUACGGAGUUGUUUAAAGGUUUAAUAUCACAGUAAUUUUAAGUAAGACCCCCGACUAAAAGUUAAUUUAACUGGAAGAAGCUCAAGCUAAGUAAAACAGUACAAAAUAUUAACUUCUUCAAUCAUCCUUUAUGGCAGUGAAGAUUGGGAACUGAAACAACUGAUUAAAGUAGAUUAUGAGCAGCAAUAUUUCUGCAUAUAACGGAAAGAUAAACUCCUCUUAAAUAGGUACAAGACGGACAAAUUUUAGAUACACUCAAAGAGUGCAUGCAGAAUUUUGUUGGAAAAUCAAGAAGCAGAUGGGAGGAUAACAUCAAGAUGGAUCUUAGGUGGAUGCUAAAGUAGCUACGUCUACGGAGUACAGACUUUCAUCAGAAGCUGCUAGUAACUCACUUGGCCAUGGAAAUAUUAGGUCUUUAUUGAAACUACGGGUUCAUUACUGUGUUUACAAUAUUCUGAACUAGGUCAGUUCCGUCUACAUCAUCAUAUUAUAUUUAGCCUAUGAAAAAUCUAUUUUAAUAUUAUCCUCCAAAUUACAUGACAAAAAUUAUUGUGUACAUAUACACGUCUCAUCAAUCCAUACAUGCUAUACUUUCCCGCUAUCCCAUAAUUCCUGAUUUUAUUAUAGCAAUAACCUAAUCUAAGAUUUUGCCAGCAGAGUUGUUUAAUUAGGAUAUGCAUAAGAAUAUUUAGGACCAUUUGUCCUCUUACAGAUAAAUAAGUUUUAUAUCCGGUAAAGAAAAUCAGUGCAAAAUUGAUGUAGCAAUUGAUACUUAAAAAGAAGAAAAUCCUCUCAGGUGCCAUCUAUCAUCUCAAAAGUCUGGAUCCUUUCAAUCCGCUCCAGUUCUGUUCUUAUUUCACUACACUUCUAAUUUUUCUGUUACAAACAGAACACUACGGGCAGAAUUGUUUCUGAUAACUGAUCAAUAUAAGAGAAUGUCGAUUGUGGCCUUCUGGGUCGUCGACUUGUAGGCGUUCACCAACGUUUCUGAAAAACGAAUUACUCCCACCUCCGUCCCACUUAACCCUGAUAAUGGAAUCAAUAAGUUCCUCCGAAACAUUAGUAAGAGCCAACAAGACCACACGACGUGCCGAUGCAGAAGAGCAAAAUCGAUUCCCUUAGCGCCAUGUGCAGUUAAAACCUCAGACAGUGUAGUCUAAAUAAAGUCUAAUUCAUAGGCUCGAAAAUAAAAAACAGUUACUGGCCAAUACAGCCUGUUAAAAAACUGAAGAAUAACAUACAAACAGUAAACACAUUGCUCUUUUUCAAUGGAACUUUCCCUCGUGAAAUUCAUGUUAUCUAAACAUGAUACAAUUUUUGAAAUGCUACAUCAACAUUUGAUACUGUUUAUAAUUCCACAUACUAAAGAGUUGAGUCUCUACGUGAAAAACCUUGAACGAUUUUAAUUGAACAACUACGAAGAGAAAUACAGAGAAAUUAAAGUGAAUAUCGAUUUAGCGUGCAUAUAAUAGGCCUAUUAGAAUCUUGUAGACUUAUUGCAAAUCAUAUACACAUUACAAAUGUCUCACUAGAUUAACAAGAAUUGUUUAUUUGUUGCGAUGCUUAUAGUAAUUGUAGUUUACUUGCAAACAUUCCUUCUGAAUGACAGUACGUCUGCAUUGAUGAUGGGUUAUUUAGAGCCGAAACUUGGUACGCAUAUAAAUUAUACAGUACCAUUAAAAAAUG